rnacentral:lncRNA from 1 species
AUCAGGCGUCACUCAGGCGUGGGGUAGCCCAGAGCCUAAAGCCAGGUGGACCAGACUUCAAAGCCCACACCCACACCUUUCCCUCCUGGCUAUGGCUGCAGCUGGGUCAACAGCCACCUUGCCUCUGCUUCCCAGGAGGGGAGAGCCACACAUCCUUCCAGACCCCUGCCCAACUCAGGAGAAGACAGAGGUCCAGCACCACCUGGUCCUGGUAGAGCAGGCCACAGCAGGGCCCAGGGGCAGGGGUGGAUGCCAGCACACCCUGUGCCUGGCUUUCCUCCCCUCUUGACCUCCCCUACUGGGUGUGGGUCCUGUGGGCCUCAGGAUGUCCCAGCUCAGCCUUGUCACCUGCUGUCUGGCCAGGUCUCAGCAAGUGGUUAGGAGGACUCUUGACUGCCCUUGCACUUGGGAGAGCCACCUGGCACAGGUCCACAGGAACCCACCCACCUAGCUGGCCCUAGGUGGUGAAGGCUUAGGACACCACAGUCCCAGCCAGCCACCAGCACUGUCCUUCCCCACCACACUUGGAUGAACAGGGUAGAGACAACAGGUCCCCUCUGCAGUUGAAAUGCAUUAAUUUUAGAGAGAUUUUCUUUUCUUGGUUUGCACCGGCCCCAGGGCGUCUCUGGGGCUUCACUUCUGCGGUGCAGCAGCACUCAUUAAAUACUGCCUCCUUGGCCAGACCAGCCUUUCCCAGCCCAGGCCCCCUCCUGGGCCCUGUCCGCUU